GUAACGGCGAGUGAAGCGGGAAGAGCUCAAAUUUAAAAUCUGGCGGUGUAUUCCGUCCGAGUUGUAGUCUAGAGAAGCAUCAUCCGUGCUGGACCAUGUACAAGUCUCUUGGAACAGAGCGUCAUAGAGGGUGAGAAUCCCGUCCUUGACAUGGACUCCCAGUACUUAGUGUUGUGCUCUCAACGAGUCGAGUUGUUUGGG
rnacentral:rRNA from 1 species